rnacentral:misc_RNA from 1 species
CGAAAUGCGAUAAGUAAUGUGAAUUGCAGAAUUCAGUGAAUCAUCGAAUCUUUGAACGCACAUUGCGCCCGCCAGUAUUCUGGCGGGCAUGCCUGUUCGAGCGUCAUUACAACCCUCAGGCCCCCGGGCCUGGCGUUGGGGAUCGGCGGAAGCCCCCUGCGGGCACAACGCCGUCCCCCAAAUACAGUGGCGGUCCCGCCGCAGCUUCCAUUGCGUAGUAGCUAACACCUCGCACCUGGAGAGCGGCGAGGCCACGCCGUAAAACACCCAACUUCUGAAUGUUGACCUCGAAUCAGGUAGGAAUACCCGCUGAACUUAAGC